GCAUUGAUGACAGUAUGUGUAUUAUAAUAAACAGCACAUCUUCUUAUUAUCUCAUCACAGUUGCUUGAGGAACAGUCAAGCAUGCCAGGAGUGAGCAUGCCAGAACCCAGUGCACAAGAGGCAGGACAUGUGCACGAGGUCGCGGAUAUGCCUUCUGUGCCUCCUUCACCUGCUUUGGACAUAUCGGUGGGUGACGUACAA